AGUGAACGCUGGCGGUAGGCCUAACACAUGCAAGUCGAACGGCAGCACAGUAAGAGCUUGCUCUUACGGGUGGCGAGUGGCGGACGGGUGAGGAAUACAUCGGAAUCUACUUUUUCGUGGGGGAUAACGUAGGGAAACUUACGCUAAUACCGCAUACGACCUACGGGUGAAAGCAGGGGAUCUUCGGAUCUUGCGCGAUUGAAUGAGCCGAUGUCGGAUUAGCUAGUUGGCGGGGUAAAGGCCCACCAAGGCGACGAUCCGUAGCUGGUCUGAGAGGAUGAUCAGCCACACUGGAACUGAGACACGGUCCAGACUCCUACGGGAGGCAGCAGUGGGGAAUAUUGGACAAUGGGCGCAAGCCUGAUCCAGCCAUACCGCGUGGGUGAAGAAGGCCUUCGGGUUGUAAAGCCCUUUUGUUGGGAAGGAAAAGCAGCAGGUUAAUACCCCGCUGUUCUGACGGUACCCAAAGAAUAAGCACCGGCUAACUUCGUG
rnacentral:rRNA from 1 species